CCGUAGUCCCCCUGAGUCAUCAAUCAGGCCUGUCUGCGGAGGGCCCCAGCACGCAGGGUGGGGGGUGCAGGAUUUUAAACUCAAAAGAGGCUCCAACACGGCAGCACUGUGAGGUGCCGAGGGCCUGAAGAUACCUACAGCCCCCAGAAAGUCAGCUCCCUCACCCACCUGGGCAUAAGAUGGCAGACAUGGGUCCCAAGGGCCCUCAGAGAGAUCUUGGAACACUAAUGGCUCCUGGGGAGGCCAGCACCCAAUCUAGAGAACCCCAGAGGUGCUGAACCUGAGGAGAGCCCUAUGCCCAGUCUUCCCGAUUAUUGAGGGCUAGCUUACCUCUCUCUCCAGGGAUGCUGAGAUGUUGGCAGGGACAGACAGGACUGCUGGAGCCAUAGGUCUUAUCAUCUGGUUUGAUGAGUCCAAGGUCACAGCACUGGGAAAGUAUGGAGGGGAUAUUUGAUUCCUUGGUGGCAGUGUCUACAGUGUGGGCCAGGAGAUGUGGAAGGAGAUCAGGAGGGCCGAGGAGGGAAGGAGAUCCCAGAGGGUGAGUUCCAUAUCCGGUAAAGUUGGAGAAGAGUGGAGCUGGGCUUCUCAGCUGGAUCAUGCAACACAAAGUAUUCAGCAAACCCUGAGAGAUCCUACUGUGGAGCUUCAUUGAGGAGGCUCUGGGCAGGGACUUGAGAACAUGCUUCUGUAAGGAGUGAGUCCUCAGAUCCUGCUGCUGCUGUUGACCUGGGGACCACCCUGGAGAAAUGGUGUUGGAGCUGCAGUGUACAGAAAGAGAGGCCAGAGGAAUGUGUGUGCUGGGGUAUGAAGGGAAGAUGGAAGGGGAAAUCAUGUUCCUCUGAAAGGGCCUGGUCUGCCACUAUCUUAGGGCCUCAGUAUCCCUGACUGAGGGUCCAGGUGAAUAAGAGAACAGGAAACAUAAAGAAGUCUUCUGAGAGCUGCUGUCAUUGUGGGCCCUCUCUAUCUCUAUGGAGCCCCCAACCCUUCUCUUAAGAGAAAGGAUCCAGUGUUGGACCUUCUCUGGUUCCUGAGAACCCCAAGCCAAAGCCUCAGGCUCUGCCAGGACGUGGGCUCAUCAAAGGCAGCCAUAAAUCCGGUUUUCC